GCCAGGUGUGGUGGCGCACACCUGUAAUCCCAAUGGCUAGGGAGGCUGAAAUAGGAGAAUCACGAGUUCAAAGCCAGCCUCAGCAAAGGCAAGGCACUAAGCAACUCAGCGAGACUCUGUCUCUA
rnacentral:sRNA from 1 species